CCGGACGUGGGUCGCAUACCCCGGGAACUGGGGAUAAUUCCGGAUAACGCAUAUAUGCUGGAAUGCUUUAUGCGUGAAAUGGAUUCGUCUGCCCAAGGAUGGGUCUGCGGCCUAUCAGGUAGUAGUGGGUGUAAUGUACCUACUAGCCGACGACGGGUACGGGUUGUGAGAGCAAGAGCCCGGAGAUGGAUUCUGAGACAUGAAUCCAGGCCCUACGGGGCGCAGCAGGCGCGAAAACUUUACAAUGCGGGAAACCGUGAUAAGGGGACACCGAGUGCCAGCAUCAUAUGCUGGCUGUCCAGGUGUGUAAAAUACACCUGUUAGCAAGGGCCGGACAAGACCGGUGCCAGCCGCCGCGGUAACACCGGCGGCCCGAGUGGUGAUCGUGAUUAUUGGGUCUAAAGGGUCCGUAGCCGGUUUGGUCAGUCCUCCGGGAAAUCUGAUAGCUCAACUAUUAGGCUUUCGGGGGAUACUGCCAGACUUGGAACCGGGAGAGGUAAGAGGUACUACAGGGGUAGGAGUGAAAUCUUGUAAUCCCUGUGGGACCACCUGUGGCGAAGGCGUCUUACCAGAACGGGUUCGACGGUGAGGGACGAAAGCUGGGGGCACGAACCGGAUUAGAUACCCGGGUAGUCCCAGCCGUAAACGAUGCUCGCUAGGUGUCAGGCAUGGCGCGACCGUGUCUGGUGCCGCAGGGAAGCCGUGAAGCGAGCCACCUGGGAAGUACGGCCGCAAGGCUGAAACUUAAAGGAAUUGGCGGGGGAGCAC
rnacentral:rRNA from 1 species